UGUUGCUGAUUUUAUUGUUAAGGGCCUUGCGUGAAUUAAACAAGUCGUUUUCAUGUAUUGUAACCAGUGGUGUGUUGAAGUGUCCAAGAUUUGUGAGACUAUCGUGAUUUUGUGUAUCGUUUUAUUGUCAAAUAAAUAAUACCAAGAAAAUAUUAAAUUAUAUAAAACUGGACAUUUCCCAACUCCCACUGUGAAGAACGCAGCCACAUCAUUAGUUCCGCUACUCACCACCAGGCGUCACAGGAGCAUAAGGAUGGGCGGCCAUUGUGGGUGGUGUAAAGGGGGCCAUGAUGGGGCGAAUAUGGAUGGGCGGAAAAAUGCUUCAACGGUCGCGAUCGUCGAUAUGUAACCGCCAUCGCAAAAAUUAUUAAGACUGCAGCAUUCGAAAGAAUACGACGCUAGUUGCUAAAAGCCAAAAAGUUAAAGUGAAAUUUAAAAUAAGUUGUGGAAAGUGGAAGAAGCGACAUUGGAAUUACAUCCAGGACCCCGUAGUUCACCGUAGUUCACCGGUAGUUUACCCAUUGUUCUACGUCGGAGUAACCGAGCACUACAUCCUGCACCUGAGCCUGUAUUGGCCAAAGUACCGCCGGAAGCACGCCGUGGUCAUUGCCAUACCUCGGAGUAGGCCCAGAGUCCACUAACGUGCCACUCCGAAGGCUACCACCGCGAUUCGAUAGGCGUCACCUAGAGGCGGCCAUUUUGUUAACGGCCUGAGGCGUGAAGUGCGAAGUGCCAGCCGGUCGUCCACCCUGAACUCGGAAAAGGAAGCAGAAGUGCUGUGCGGAGGAGUGAAGGUUCCACCGGCCGUGUCCUGCCGGAACUAACGCGAGAAGGAGCGAAACGUAGUCCAGGAAGGAAAGACGGUGGAGUAGCGGAGCGUGAAGAAGGGGCCCCGCCAAUAGUGAAGAAGAAGGGAAUAAGUGAGGUAGGAGAUAGCCUUUAAGAAAGUGGGAGAAAUAAAGGUACCUGAUUGUGCGAAGUAUUGAAUAAAGUGGGUUUGUGUCCAGCAAAGGUAAUCUAGUGUGUUCUUGGUCGCGAUAGUUAAGCGCGUACGCCGACCCUGAGGCAAUUGAGGAGAGGGGAGUCUCACCAGUGCUGGGCAGGGAUCGCCCCAUUAGUUACACUUGGCGCCCAACUGAAAUUUGCGUAGACUAUCAGAGCCUGGGUACACUAGAAUACCGAUUGCGUGUCUUUGCGGAAGUCUCUGGUAACAUCCAGACUUCGCUGACGAACUUAACCAAAGCACAUAAAACAGGUAACCGAUUGAUGAAUGGGAAUCAAUACAAUUUAUUCUUAAAGAGGGGUCUUGGAUGUGAGUAAACGGUCUGACUAGCUACCAACCAUUGAACAAAACUUAA